UGGCUAACUCCUACGGGAGGCAGCAGUGGGGAAUAUUGCACAAUGGGGGAAACCCUGAUGCAGCCAUGCCGCGUGUGUGAAGAAGGCCUUCGGGUUGUAAAGCACUUUCAGCGAGGAGGAAAGGUCAGUAGCUAAUACCUGCUGGCUGUGACGUUACUCGCAGAAGAAGCACCGGCUAACUCCGUGCCAGCAGCCGCGGUAAUACGGAGGGUGCAAGCGUUAAUCGGAAUUACUGGGCGUAAAGCGCACGCAGGCGGUUGGAUAAGUUAGAUGUGAAAGCCCCGGGCUCAACCUGGGAAUUGCAUUUAAAACUGUCCGGCUAGAGUCUUGUAGAGGGGGGUAGAAUUCCAGGUGUAGCGGUGAAAUGCGUAGAGAUCUGGAGGAAUACCGGUGGCGAAGGCGGCCCCCUGGACAAAGACUGACGCUCAGGUGCGAAAGCGUGGGGAGCAAACAGGAUUAGAAACCCUGGUAGUCCAGCUGG
rnacentral:rRNA from 1 species